AUGAAUUCCCUCUACUUUUGUCUAGGUUUCAGUUCCCAAUGGUACUCUGUGCUGAGACCACAAUUCCUGAGGAACUCUACCCAAAAUUGGAAGAAAAUCCUAAUGUUUGCCGAAUAUUUUGAAAAUACAGCCUUGACAGAAAGUGUAUUGGCCUUGCAACUUCGGUCCUGUCAAGGCUGUUCAGAAAUUUGGAAGGAAAAGGAAGAAAAACAACCUGAAAUGGAAGUAUUCAAAAAGUGUGGUGUCCUGAAAAAUGAGAAUGUCAAAAUCUGAUCAAGCGAAACAUUUUGUUCUGAUUACAACUUUUUUUUUUUUCAUAUAAUAACAUUGAAACAUGCUUCGAGGCCAAAUGUUGCUUUAACCUGACAAAGCGAAAUGUUUCAUUCUGAAAAUGGCAAAACAAAAUGUGGUGGAGCGUUAUUGGAAAAACUCUACAAAAUUGUAAUGCAUUUGUUGAAGGUUUCAGGUGAUCCUUACCAAAGUUUUGGGGUUCAACAGUUUGGCUUAGACUUCAAUUUUCUCUACCCAUGGCACAAAGUCCUUUUCCUAUGUCAAAGCUACAGAUAAAGCACCUGUACAAGAGGGUCUGCCUUUACGGAGACAGUUAAAUUGGCCAUAUAUGGGGAAAAUGGAUUGUUUUCAUUUUGGCAGAAAAGAUGAAUGUUUUGAAAUCUAUGCACACAAGCUGCAGCAAUAUUUUAAGAUCAACGGUACUGAGGAUAGUCACAAGUAAAGACCGUUUGCAACCCUGUAAGAUUGAUGCUUCCUUUCAGGAAUGGGUGAAAAACACUGGAAAGAUUUUUCUCUAGUGCCUUGAAAAUACUCCCGGCCUGUUCCAAAGCCAUUUGAGCCAACUAACUGAUCAGCUGUAUUAUGGUGACAUCAAGAGGCCGCUGCUAUGCUGGAGACACAAUUGCUUCUCCAAAGAGGAGGCAGAAGGGGAUGGAGGAAAGCAUUACUUUGCUCAAGGACACCUCUGGGGCCAGGGCCACAGCUGAGAUAUGAAGCCAGACAUGCUGGCUCCCAGCCCUGUCCUGUCCAGCACAUGCCACUGUCUUCCUCGGCUUUGAGCAGAUUUUCAAGGCUAAUGGACAAUCCACCUAGCUGACGUGUGUUUUGCUCAAGAAAUCACCCAGAAGCUGCACUUUCCUGCGUACUCCAACAAGGUGGUUCGUGAUGUGCUGUUGCAGACCCACCUGAGGGUGCAAGGCUCGUUAUGGUGCGGGAACAGUGGGGUCCUGAGUCAGGAUUGCCCAAGCCCGGGUGAGGCAGAGCAGGGGUAUCUUGCCCUCGGAGAAAUGCCUUCACUUGGCUCAUUCUGAGAAAAAUAGGAAGGUGUUGCUUCUGGGAACUGCACAAUAGCCACCAAACUGUUCCUCUUUUUGUAUUGUGGGAGAUAAGAGUGGUGAUAGUGCUAACACGGUGAUCGGUGGGGACUCCCUCUACUCUGCCCAGCUCCAUGCUUUGUAACUAAAUCCUCCCACCCCACUCCCCCUCUCCAACAUCUCUCCAUCUCUUACAAGACUUUACACAGGGCAACCUAACACACUCUUAGUUGCAGUGCUACUAAAUCUAGCACUGUAGCAUACCUAGCACAGUGUAAUUAGUUUUAUAAUUAGGACAAUUAUUUUCCCUCUGCAGCAGUCUAAAGGGCUUUGAAAUGAAUUAAUAAUAAUAUCUGAAGAGGAACGAGACCUGCUCAUCCCUACAGUAACCUCUGAACCAGUGGUGUGGUGACUCUUCCCCGAGAUUGCAUUGAGGUAUUGGGUUUUUAGGUAUGCAGGGCCUCCCUGCGCUUGGCAUUACAGGGGUCCACCCCUAACACGGGCAGCCUGUGUCCUCCUGCAUGUCCAGCGCUCUGGGACAUGGGAAGGGCUCAUGCUUUCAGGCCUGCAUAUCUGUAACUGGCACCAGCCAAGACUGAGUGGCUCCUCUGUCACAGGACAUCUGAGCAAUUUAACAUGACAUCUCUCUUUCUCCCCUGCUUGCCAUCAGCUAGAAGAGUGCAUUUCUUGUCUGGUUCUCUGUUUAUACCUACAUGCAUGCACAUGUCUGAAAGAGAGAAAAAGCACUGACUGAGUCAAGGAACAGAUGGUGUAUUUUGUUUUGAGCAUGGUGUGGCCUCUGAGUAGAUUUUUCUGUUGCUGUCCGAGGCAGUGGAAGGAAAUCCUGCAUUACGCUGUACACAGUGCUCUGAGUGCAGCCCGGUGCCCCAGGGAGUCUGCUUCUGCCAUCCAGUGUCAUUCACCGUCCUCCAUCAGUCACCUCGGUACAGAUACAGCCUCACAUUGAUCUCUUUUAUCUCAGGAGUGAAGGUACAGGGUAGACUGAGGCUGGUCGCAGAGGCAGCUGGGUGCUUCUCACCUCCAUUUAUGCCUGUGGGGAAGGAAUGGUUUACUCUGCUUUCCUGCCAAGCAGGCACUUCGUCUUAUGGCUAAAUAGUAGAAACAAUACCAAAUGCCAAGAAUGCCACAAUUAUUUCCUGUGAGGUCACUCAGUUGAGAGGUAAUUUAUUUUUAAUCAGCAUGUUUAUCCAAGAAAGUGAUCUGAGGGAUCAAAAUCGGGAAAUCACUUGAAGUGAUGACAUUGCCAAAGAGAGCUGGGGUUUGCAGUGCAUCAGCAACCACCAUGUACCCAUCCUCCCCAUCCUGCUUUUUGCAGGGUGAGUUCAGGCAGAGGCCAUCUAUGGCUUGGACAGCAGCAUCCCAGCAGCAGAGGCCCAGCCAGCGUUGACUGCUCCUGAUCGAGACUCAUUCCUUCUCUCCUGCCGACAUCCUUAGUAACGUCCUUUCCUGCCAGCCAGGGGAGUUUCCCUUGACAGACUUUCUGCUGAUUUUCGGUGGGGCAUAUUCUAAUACAUGCAAGAGUACUUCAAACUGGAGAUACGAGCAGGUACAUUUGACUAAGUUGCCCGUGUUUAUCACAGUAAAUGUUUCUUUCCAACCAGGCCAACGGGAGCCUUAUGGUCCACAUUUUCCCUUCCUCCUCUCAAGCCCCUCAUCAGUGUGACUAACACCUAAAAGCACUCUGUGUGCCUGGCUUCAUAUCGGACUUCAGCUGACGUUCACAGUGCUCAAGAGCCUUCACUCUCCUGUGCAAAUUGUCCGUGUUUUCCUAUAUUUCUCGGCUAUUGUUCUUGGCCAUGGCCAGUUUGUUAAAAAAACAUACUCCACGUUUCUCUACCUGCUGCAACUGAAUUCAUCAUUUUUGGGAGGAAAACUUGAGAGUGGGUGAAGGAGCAAAAGCAGCCUCCAUGCAGGCUCCUAUGUAUGUGUAAAUAUUUGAAAGGUCACUCAGUUAUUCAUACAGUAUGUUCUGCCAAGCUUUGUGCAGAAAACACUCACCUUUUUUUGGUGUCUCCUAAUAAAUCUUUUGGGGUUUGCA
ensembl:lncRNA